GAUGAGCGCCUCGUGGUCGCGGUUGUGCUUGCGGAUCUUCUGGCGCAGCGUGCUCAGCGCCUUCGCGUUGUUCUUGUUCAUCCGCUUCUUGCCCUCCUUGUCCUCCCACAGCUGGGGGGCGCUAUGGGUCACGGCCUGCCCCACAGCCUGCCCCACAUCCCUGCCCCACAUCCCUGCCCCACAUCUGGCCCCAUAUCCCAACCCACAUCCUGCCCCACAGCAGCCAAUGUCCUGACCCCCAUAACCCAGCAUCGUUCUCUUGCCCUCCUUGUCCUCCCACCGCUAGGGGGCGCUAUGGGUCACGGCCUGCCCCACAUCCUGCCCCACAUCCUGCCCCACAACCUGCCCCACAUCUGGCCCCACAGCCUGGCUCCCAUAAGUCAGUCUCCUCUUCUUGCCCUCCUUGUCCUCCCACAGCUGGGGGGCGCUAUGGGUCACGGCCUGCCCCACAGCCUGCCCCACAUCCUGCCCCACAUCCCUGCCCCACAUCCUGCCCCACACCCUGCCCCACAUCCUGCCUCACACCUCAUUCAGCUAGUCCUCCAGAUCAGCCAGCAACCUCACAUAGAAGCCAGGCACCCCCCACCCCACACCCUGCCCCAUAGCUCCCACAUCCUGCCCCACUUUCUGCCCCACACCCUGCCCCACAUCCCGCCCCACACCUCAUUCAGGUAAUCCUCCAGAUCGGCCAGCAACCUCACAUAGAAGCCAGGCACCCCCUACCCCAUAGCUCCCACAUCCUGCCCCACAUCUCUCCAAAUCCUGCCCCACUCUCUGCCCCACACCCUGCCCCACAUCCCGCCCCACACCUCAUUCAGCUAGUCCUCCAGAUCACCCACCAGCCUCGCGUAAUACCCAGGCACCCCUCACCCCAUAGCUCCCACAUCCUGCCCCACAUCUCUCCAAAUCCUGCCCCACUCUCUGCCCCACACCCUGC
rnacentral:lncRNA from 1 species